GGGGCUGACAAAGCUUAGACGGAUUAUUAACAGACGUAAGGCAUACCGAUUAAAUACCGUAAGUAUUAAUAAGUGCUAAAAACACGAAAACUGCGCAUGUCAUGUACAUGCCAGCUUAUGCCUAAUCAAUAGGCUGGUUCGCGCUUAAGGUCCCGUAGGACGCGAAUUAUCAUAUAACGGGAAUAAGGUCGCCUAAGUAGCGAAAGGUGGCUCGAAAACUUAGCUACGGCAGCCGUGAGUUUGGUUUCUUGCAGCUAACGGCACACGCUAAGUAUGAAACAGGAAACUAUGUAUGUAGAAUUACGUCCAUGUGGUAAUUCGGACGGGGAGGCAGUAUCCCCCAGCUCCACCA
rnacentral:tmRNA from 1 species